CCUGGAGUUAUUGGUGUUGUUGUUGUUGCACUCAUCUUCUUCUUCACCGUCAUCAUCAUCGUCGUCAUCAUAAUCAAGCGAUCUCAAAUCCAGCGUGUUCUACGUCACUACAGAGGUGAACAAAUUUUUCCAUGUUGGAGCAAAAACUCUCAACAUGAACCAGAGAGAAAUGAUGGAGAUCAUAGAGAAAAUGUCAAUCUAGACGAUGAAGCUGAAGGAAAACCUUUACAGGAUCAAGGAAAACAAAACCAAAGUGAAUCUUUCACUUGAUCUAAAGUCUCUUCAACAAUUUGAAAAGGAGACCAGAACCAGAGAGACGAGGAAGGACCAUCAUCAUCAUCAUCAUCAUCAUCAUCACUGUGGGACUGAUAGUUAUUUAGUUUAGGAAGAAAAUGAGAAGAAGAAACCAAACAUUUUGACCAAGAACAUUUUUGUCUGAACUUUUUCUGUUUGACAUAUUUUAAUAAUGACUUUGAGUCGUUUAUUGCUUUGCUUCAGAUUCAUGUUCUCAAUACCUUUCUACAGACACAUCAUAAUGGGGUUUUAUGUCUUAUAAUAAGACUUACUUGAAGUUUUUAUAUGCAGCUGUUUCUUCCAGUGUUGGAAACUACUUUGCUAUCAAUCUUAAAGCAUUAAGUUGACGAUCUAGGCAAUCUUUAGGGGUUUGAAAUACUGAUACAUUUCAGUAUUUGAAAUGUAUCAAAUACUGAAAUAUUUGAUACAGAAACAAUGAUCUGUUAUUCUGUUACUCAGAUGGAUUUAUUCUGUUUCACUUCAUGUGUUUAGAGAAACCAGUGGUGACAACAGUGUUAGGAGUUUGUCCUGAAAUUAACAUGUUGUUGGUUCAAAUCUGCCUCUUUCUUAGUGUCCUUGAGCAAGGCACUUCACCUGCCUUACCUGCCAGUGGCAUCGACCCACAGCAGCUGCUGCCAAAUUGCUGCAGGGCAGCAGAGGCUGUUAUCCAGUAUUGGUCACCAUCAGUAUGAAUGGAUGAGUAUGAAUGGAUGAAUGACUGAAUGCAGAGUGAAGCAUUUUGGAUUCAACUGGACUUGAAACAGAGCCUUAAAGUACAAGCCAUAUUUAAUGUUUUAUGGAAAUAGUAAAUUAGAGCUCUAAUUUAUUAUUUAAACAUUCUCGUUAUCAGUGUUGUAUAGAAACAAAGUAACUUUCAUAUGAAAAUUUUUGAUAACUUUCACUUUACUUCACUACAUUUCAGAACUUAAUUGCUCCGCUUCAUUUUCAAUGUGUGGUUUAGUUACUCGUUACAAAAAAGUGAGAGAGAGAAACAAAUGUUUAGACCCAACCUACUGAUCGACUGCAACAAAGUCGGUAGCCGAUUUGCCUGAGUUUGUUCAUCUCCACCAAUAGAUGCACAUGUUUCACUUCUCCCAUUAAUCACCAAGUUUACUAAAGCUCUCCCUCUUCAGAUGCCAAAUAAGCUGCAUUUCCCUCCCAAUUCUUUUUUCUUUUGUAUAAUGACCAGUUGAUGCACCUAUAGUGUGUGAAGUAGAGAAAUCGUAACGGCUUUUUUUUUCUUCAUGUUGGCCGCAUUUUCUGUGCUAUUUAUUUUUCUCAUUUUCAGCACUGAUCUUACUGAAAGAAAAACUUAAGGCUUACAAACCUUGUAUUUUCUGUCCUUCUUGUACUAAGAAGCAGGUUCAUAGUGAUGAGUCUGACGACACUGAAACCCGCGCGCAUGCGCCGAGCAAA